rnacentral:rRNA from 1 species
GGCGAUUCAGUCGCUGGGUGUAGACCCGAAACCAAGUGAUCUACCCAUGGCCAGGAUGAAGGUGCGGUAACACGCACUGGAGGCCCGAACCCACUCCCGUUGCAAAGGUAGGGGAUGAGGUGUGAUUAGGAGUGAAAAGCUAAUCGAACCCGGAGAUAGCUGGUUCUCCUCGAAAGCUAUUUAGGUAGCGCCUCGAGCGAAUACC